rnacentral:rRNA from 1 species
CCUGGUUGAUCCUGCCAGUGGAAUAUGCUUGUUUCAAAGAUUAAGCCAUGCAUGUCUAAGCAUGCGUUGAAUUUAAAUGAAGCCGCGAAUAGCUCAUUAUAACAGCCGUUGUUUCUUGGAUCUUCUCUCUACUUGGAUAACUGUGGUAAUUCUAGAGCUAAUACAUGCCUUGUAGCUCUGAUCGUAAGUGAUGAGCGCAUUUAUUAGAUCAAGACCAUCCGGCUUCGGCCGUGUUUUGAUGACUCUGAAUAAUCCAGCAGAGCACAUGGGCUCGUCCCGGUGCCAAAUCUUUCAAGUGUCUGCUCUAUCAACUUUCGAUGGUAGUUUAUGUGACUACCAUGGUUGUGACGGGUAACGGAGGAUUAGGGUCUGACUCCGGAGAGGGAGCCUGAGAAACGGCUACCACUUCUAAGGAAGGCAGCAGGCGCGCAAAUUACCCAUUCUCAGUACGAGGAGGUAGUGACGAAAAAUACCAAGGUGAGGCCCUAUGGGUUUCGCCAUUGGAAUGAGAACAAUAUAAAUCUUUUAACGAGUAACAAGUGGAGGGCAAGUCUGGUGCCAGCAGCCGCGUAAUUCCAGCUCCACAAGUGUAUUCCUAUAUUGUUGCGGUUAAAAAGCUCGUAGUUGGAUCUGAGUGCUUAGCGGGUGGUACAGUGUUUCACUGUCACUGCUUCGCGGCACAUAACCGUCGACUGGCUGCUGUUGUUGCCUUCACCGGUGACGGCAGUUAGCUAUCGACAUGUUUACUUCGAACAAAUCAGAGUGCUCAAAACAGGCGUUUCGCUUGUAUGUUUUUGCAUGGAAUAAUAGAAUAGGACCUUGGGUCUAUUUUGUUGGUUUUCGGAAUCAAGGUAAUGAUUAAGAGGGACAGACGGGGGCAUUCGUACUGCAACGGGAGAGGUGAAAUUCUUGGAUCGUUGCAAGACGAACUACUGCGAAAGCAUUUGCCAAGAAUGUUUUCAUUAAUCAAGAACGAAAGUAACGGGUUCGAAGGCAAUCAGAUACCGCCCUAGUCGUUACCGUAAACGAUUGUAACCGGGAGCUAGCAGGCGCUUUACUAUGGCUCUGCUAGAACCCACCCGGAAACGAAGAGUUUUCGAUAUCCGGGGGAAGUAUACUUGCAAAUGUGAAACUUAAAGGAAUUGACGGAAGGGCACCACCAGGGGUGGAGCCUGCGGCUUAAUUUGACAACACGGGGAAACUCAUCCGGUCCGGACACCGUAAGGAUUGACAGAUUGAGAGCUCUUUCUUGAUUUGGUGGGCAGUGGUGCAUGGCCGUUCUUAGUUGAUGGAGUGAUUUGUCUGGUUUAUUCCGAUAACGAACGAGACUCUAGCCUACUAACUAGUUAUGCGAUCUUCUUGUCGUAUUAACUUCUUAGAGGGACAAGCGGUGCUCAGCCGCAUG